UAAAUAAAUAAGAGGUAUAGAAGUGUGAAACAACACACCUCCAAAUUCAAGGGACAGUCCUGAGAGCAGUCCUGAGCUACUAUCUACCUCACUGGAGACCCUCAGACUAUCUUUAAUCAGGCUUUACUGUACUUUAUCUUGCACUAAACAUUAUUCCCUUUAUCAUGCAUCUGUACUGUGGAUGGCUCGAUUGUAAUCAUGUAUAGUCUUUCCGCUGACUGGUUAGCACACAACAAAAAGCUUUUCACUGUAACUCGGUACACGUGACAAUAAACUAAACUAAACUAAACUAAACUAUUGUUCUGUAGAAGGUAGACAAAAAUGCUGGAGAAACUCAUCGGGUGAGGCAGCAUCUAUGGAGCGAAGGAAUGGCUGAUGUUUUGGGUCGAGAUCCUUCUGUGUUACUCCAGUACUUUGUGCUUUGCUCCAGAUACAGUAUAUGCUUCAUUUGAAACAUUUUUCAUAUAUUUCUAAAAGGGGGACAUGAUGGCACAGCUAGGUGGACCUGCUACUUCACAGCACCAGAUAAAGCAAAAUCAGGGUUCGAUCCUGAACUCAGGCGCUGUCUGUGUGGAAUUUGUACGUUCUCCCUGUGACCUCAGGGAUUUCAUCCGGGUCCUCUUUCCUCCCAUGUCCCAAAGAUGUGCGGGUUUGCAGGUUAAUUGGCCUCUGUAAAUUGCCCACAGUGGAUGUGAAAGUGGGAUAACAUAGAUCUUGCGUGAACGGGUGAUUGAUGGUCAACUUGGGUUCGAUGGGCUGAUGGGGUGUUUCAAUGCUGUAUCUCUUAACUAGAUCCAAGUUGCCAUUCUAACAAUACAUUCAACGCCAUUCCGCACCAGUUGUUACUCUUGAAACAAUAUAUGUACAGCUGACAGAUUAGACAGGCAGUGUGUUGAAUAGUCUUAUUUUAGAGUGGAGUCGGAUAAACACCUAUUUGAGAUACAAUUAAUGGGUCUAGGCAUUAAAUGCAGAUGCAGAUGAUGAAAUAAUCUGGAAGUUCAGAAGCAGAAUAUCCUUUGAAAGCUGCAGGCUAGUAGUUAUCAUGUAGGGACAGAUGUGAGCAAGAAACUUUACUGCACCCUAGUGAGUAUGAGAAUAAAGUAUUCGGAAUCUGAAUCAGAUGUAUAUUCUUGAGUGUAGCUUGAUUACCCUGGGGAAUUGCUGCAGCACUGAUGCAGAGCAGUUCUGCAACUUCUGAAAGAAAGGUUUUGUGGGAUUAAAUGACAUUUUGUCACUUAUUUUUUUUAAUGUUUGUUCAUAUGACAGCCAGCUUGAUGCCUCAGUUUUGCACAAAAAUUGUUUUAACUAAACUGGGGAGGGGGGCAAUCAGCCUUUUCCUGCCGGCGUCUAGAAUUACUGGUAUCACCGGUAGAACGCACGGAAGGCAGCUCAGUUCACCUCCCUGCCCGCACUCGUAUUUUGGAUGUCCAGAUGGGAAAGCUGAAAGAGAUGAGGCAAAAACAUUUGUGAUAGUCAAGAGAGGGAAGAGUGUUUUAUUGUCAUAGGUCCUGAAACGGAACCAUGAAAUUCUUACUUGCAGCAGCACAACAGAUCUUAGUUCUUAUCAGGAUAACAGAUCCAUCUGCAUCAUUUGCAAAACAAGCCAAUUUCCCCAUCUGUCAGCAUUCAACGGCUGAGGCUAAUUUUGUGCUCAUUGAACAUAUCCACGCCUAACAGGAUUCAUCAGCUGGAGAGGCGGGAAGCAACGAUUUAGCCACAGGAGAGGGCGUUAUUUGGAUAUCCAUGCUGUCUUUCAUCACCCUGGAUUAUCGAGCAUUGGUUGCAUCUACAUUUAAUUCAAUCUCUGAACUGUGCAACAACUGGGCAAGGAGAGAGAAAAAAAUGAUGUCAAAGAAGAAAUCUAAAAGAUCUUUGCUGCAAGGGAUGAAUGCAGACAAAAGACUAAUCGUUUUAAUAGCCUAUCUGAAGCUGCAAUCCACCUUGAAGAUAAAACGUGGUUUAAAGCAUUAAUUAAAUGACUUGCCACCUCCGAAUGCACCCAGCACACAAUGUUUUGAAAUGCUGACAAUAAUCUAUCUGAUUAGAGCAAAGCCAACAGAUUUUUGACAUGCUAACACCUCUCAAUUAUACCUCAAGAUGAAGCAGCCCAAAUGAAAGCAGUUAAUGACAGAAGAUAUAUGUUUCAUUGCCUUUAUUAUUUUCCCAGGAAGGUAAAGCAUUUCACUGACUAUGCCUAAGCUUGUCUAUCAGUCUCAACAACCAGCACCUGUUUAUUGAUCAAAGUGAGAAAUCCUUUGCACUGUUCUCCAGCCAGAAACUCCUUUGUUGCUUUUUCAUUUACUCGUUCAACAAAACCCAACCAGGUUAGAUAUUCCACCAUGUCUAAAAGAGGCAGGCAAUAGGUGGGGGCCCACGAGUCGAGAAAUAUCAGACAGAAUCUCCACAUUUUUCCAGCCACAUGCCGUCAAAAAUAUAUCCUGUCCCUCGCGGGUCUGCGUCACAUUGCCACAGGUAGUGCUGCUGACUCAAAGCUCCAGCAACCCAGGUUCGGUUCAACCUGCACUGUCUAUGUGGAAUAUGCACUAUCUCUCGUGGAUCUCAGCAUUAUAUCCCUACUCUUGUAUUCUAGCCCUCUUUGUCAGCAUUGCAUUCACCGUCCUUGCUGCCGAUUCUUUACUACCAUCCUGUGACUUUCCCCAAUGACCCCUGUUAGCUUGGUGUUAUCAGUGUAACUGAGGUGGCCCAGAGCAAUAUACCAGCCACACGUCACCUUUGGAUAUGAGGUUGGAUUUUGAAAUCCUAUUUUCUACUACAAACUCCCUGACAAUAGUUUUUUUUUUGGAUGAUAAAGUUAGGCAAGAGGUCAUCCUAGAAACCUUUGCCACACCACAUUGUCCAUCUCACAAGGAUUCACAAAUGUUCCUUUAAUAUUCCAGUAGCCCUUUCAGUAUUUUGUUUGUAUUGGCGUG